rnacentral:rRNA from 1 species
AUGAUGCCCAGCUUGCUGGGUGGAUUAGUGGCGAACGGGUGAGUAACACGUGAGUAACCUGCCCCUGACUCUGGGAUAAGCGUUGGAAACGACGUCUAAUACUGGAUAUGACUGCCGGCCGCAUGGUCUGGUGGUGGAAAGAUUUUUUGGUUGGGGAUGGACUCGCGGCCUAUCAGCUUGUUGGUGAGGUAAUGGCUCACCAAGGCGACGACGGGUAGCCGGCCUGAGAGGGUGACCGGCCACACUGGGACUGAGACACGGCCCAGACUCCUACGGGAGGCAGCAGUGGGGAAUAUUGCACAAUGGGCGAAAGCCUGAUGCAGCAACGCCGCGUGAGGGAUGACGGCCUUCGGGUUGUAAACCUCUUUUAGUAGGGAAGAAGCGAAAGUGACGGUACCUGCAGAAAAAGCACCGGCUAACUACGUGCCAGCAGCCGCGGUAAUACGUAGGGUGCAAGCGUUGUCCGGAAUUAUUGGGCGUAAAGAGCUCGUAGGCGGUUUGUCGCGUCUGCUGUGAAAUCCCGAGGCUCAACCUCGGGCUUGCAGUGGGUACGGGCAGACUAGAGUGCGGUAGGGGAGAUUGGAAUUCCUGGUGUAGCGGUGGAAUGCGCAGAUAUCAGGAGGAACACCGAUGGCGAAGGCAGAUCUCUGGGCCGUAACUGACGCUGAGGAGCGAAAGCGUGGGGAGCGAACAGGAUUAGAUACCCUGGUAGUCCACGCCGUAAACGUUGGGCGCUAGAUGUAGGGACCUUUCCACGGUUUCUGUGUCGUAGCUAACGCAUUAAGCGCCCCGCCUGGGGAGUACGGCCGCAAGGCUAAAACUCAAAGGAAUUGACGGGGGCCCGCACAAGCGGCGGAGCAUGCGGAUUAAUUCGAUGCAACGCGAAGAACCUUACCAAGGCUUGACAUACACCGGAAACGGCCAGAGAUGGUCGCCCCCUUGUGGUCGGUGUACAGGUGGUGCAUGGUUGUCGUCAGCUCGUGUCGUGAGAUGUUGGGUUAAGUCCCGCAACGAGCGCAACCCUCGUUCUAUGUUGCCAGCGCGUUAUGGCGGGGACUCAUAGGAGACUGCCGGGGUCAACUCGGAGGAAGGUGGGGAUGACGUCAAAUCAUCAUGCCCCUUAUGUCUUGGGCUUCACGCAUGCUACAAUGGCCGGUACAAAGGGCUGCGAUACCGUAAGGUGGAGCGAAUCCCAAAAAGCCGGUCUCAGUUCGGAUUGAGGUCUGCAACUCGACCUCAUGAAGUCGGAGUCGCUAGUAAUCGCAGAUCAGCAACGCUGCGGUGAAUACGUUCCCGGGCCUUGUACACACCGCCCGUCAAGUCAUGAAAGUCG